UACGUAGGGGGCAAGCGUUGUCCGGAUUUAUUGGGCGUAAAGAGCGUGUAGGCGGCCAGGUAGGUCUGCUGUGAAAACUCGAGGCUCAACCUCGAGAUGUCGGCGGAAACUGCAAAGCUAGAGUCCGGAAGAGGAGAGUGGAAUUCCUGGUGUAGCGGUGAAAUGCGCAGAUAUCAGGAGGAACACCGGUGGCGAAGGCGGGUCUCUGGGCCGACAUUGACGCUGAGGAGCGAAAGCGUGGGGAGCGAACAGG
rnacentral:rRNA from 1 species